AUUGAACGCUGGCGGCAUGCCUUACACAUGCAAGUCGAACGGCAGCACGGGGGCAACCCUGGUGGCGAGUGGCGAACGGGUGAGUAAUACAUCGGAACGUACCCGGAAGUGGGGGAUAACGUAGCGAAAGUUACGCUAAUACCGCAUAUUCUGUGAGCAGGAAAGAGGGGGAUCGCAAGACCUCUCGCUUUCGGAGCGGCCGAUGUCGGAUUAGCUAGUUGGUGGGGUAAAAGCCUACCAAGGCGAUGAUCCGUAGCUGGUCUUAGAGGAUGAUCAGCCACACUGGGACUGAGACACGGCCCAGACUCCUACGGGAGGCAGCAGUGGGGAAUUUUGGACAAUGGGGGCAACCCUGAUCCAGCCAUGCCGCGUGAGUGAAGAAGGCCUUCGGGUUGUAAAGCUCUUUCGGACAGAAAGAAAUCGCACAGGAUAAUACCUUGUGUGGAUGACGGUACUGUCAUAAGAAGCACCGGCUAACUACGUGCCAGCAGCCGCAGUAAUAC
rnacentral:rRNA from 1 species